rnacentral:lncRNA from 1 species
GGAAGGCAGAGAGCAGCUGCGGCCCAGGUGCUCUCCACCGUGAGUGGGAAGGGGCAGGCAGGUCUGGCACCUCCACCUUCUCCCUGUUCCCCUUUCUGCUCCAGACUUUUACUCCCUCUCCCCUGCCCACACUCAGCAUGACCUUGCCGGUCACUUGUCCUCAGUGUCUCCUUCUGUGAAAUGGGAGUGGCCAAAAAGUGCUGACCACUCAUGGGACCAAGACUCCUGAUAUAGCUUGGUCUUCUGAGAGGUCAGCUUCUCAGUCCCUGGCCCCGAUGGCAAGGUGACCUGGUGUGGCACUAGGCAAUAGGAUUGUCUUUUUUAUUCUUAAUGGUCUUGAGGUCCUGGCAGAAAGAAUUGUACCAUCCGCCAUGUGACAACAAAAACCUGCUGACCUACUCCCAGGCACAUAUUGUGAGAACCCUAACAAGGUGAUGAAACACUCAUGUUGAUACAAGCAUUUAUAUCCAAGAUGACAUGGCCACACAUAUACUGUUAAAACAAUAUAAACAUACCCAAUGACAACCAAACAGGGCCCCAGUUACUCCCAGGGACCCACAUGAAAGCCACAUAGAUACAAACAUUCAGGUGCAUACUCCAACACAUAAACAUUUAAAAUGUCACCCAGACACACCUGAGCCCAAGGAACAUUGAUUGCUAGUGGUAUAUACACCCCAAUGCAUGCUAUGCUCAUGGCCAAACACUCACUGACACUAGCACAUGAACAUAUAAAGUACAUUUCCGGUGCUGACAUACCCUCACUGACUCCUGAAGCAAACUCAGUGGUUCAGGAAUCUCCUACCUGGAACGGUGCCCCUCUUUACUGGUCAGGAUCUGUCCAAUGUUUAUUUGGCCCUGCCCUCAGUGUUGUCUGGAGCAAGGCACAGAUCCUGACACCCCGAACAGAAGUGACUGCAGUGAAAUGGGCCAAAGUGAGGAGGAAAGACCACCAAGCUAUGAAGCUGUUCCCCAAACUCUGGAUGCUGGUUAGAGCCACGAAGGGACAGCUCAGGCGGUUACAUCAAGGUCCCAGUUGACCACUCAGUCUGGACAGGACAGAAGAAAUAAAUCACAAAACUUCAGUGGCA